CGUCACAUGAUUAAAGUACAUGAUGAUGUAUCUGAUAAUAGUUCUAUUGAUUCGUUGCUGUCUCCAUCAUCUCCUGUUAAUAAUAAACAAUGGACUAACAAGAAGAAUAAAUCACUCAUUAAUUAUAUUAAUAGAGAAGCUGGUCAUUCUCAGGAUUCUGGUGUACUGGUUGAACUGUGCGGACAUAUUUAAAUAUUUUUAUCAUCUCUUUUAUAAACAUUUUUAUUAAAAAUUAUAUUAUUAUUAUUAAUGUGCUUUUUUGUCAUUUUUUUCUUUUUUUUAUCUGCUCCUUUUUGAGAGAAA